GAUGAACGCUGACAGAAUGCUUAACACAUGCAAGUCGACUGGAACAGUUCUUCGGAACCAAGUACGGUGGCGGACGGGUGAGUAACGCGUAAAGAACUUGCCCUCUAGACUGGGACAACUACUGGAAACGGUAGCUAAUACCGGAUAUUAUGAGAACCUCGCAUGGGGAACUUAUGAAAGCUAUAUGCGCUAGAGGAGAGCUUUGCGUGCCAUUAGGUAGUUGGUAGGGUAAUGGCCUACCAAGCCGACGAUGGCUAGCCGGCCUGAGAGGGUGAACGGCCAC
rnacentral:rRNA from 1 species